AUUAGUGCGUUUUCCCCGGCACGCCAACAGACAAAAGAAUUUCUCCUGUAUACAAAGCAAUAGCUGUACAUGUAAUCAUACAAAACUACAACCAAUAGUAUAGAGCUGCUAACAUAACUCAAUAUAUAAAUAAACAUCAGGUUCACUAUACAUAUAAAGUCUCCAAGAUACAAACAUCCCUCGCCACAGCAAGUAUACCAGCAUAAGUAUGUAUAUGAACCAAAACCCAAAACUACCUAUAGACGGUACUCCUCUAGGACUGCAACUAGGGAAGGGAUCUAGCUCGCGACUCCCUUUCUAUGAUCAGAAUCAGCGACAGCAGCAACCGC
rnacentral:lncRNA from 1 species